AAGGCUGAGGCGUGAUGACGAGGCACUACGGUGCUGAAGCAACAAAUGCCCUGCUUCCAGGAAAAGCCUCUAAGCAUCAGGUAACAUCAAAUCGUACCCCAAACCGACACAGGUGGUCAGGUAGAGAAUACCAAGGCGCUUGAGAGAACUCGGGUGAAGGAACUAGGCAAAAUGGUGCCGUAACUUCGGGAGAAGGCACGCUGAUAUGUAGGUGAAGCGACUUGCUCGUGGAGCUGAAAUCAGUCGAAGAUACCAGCUGGCUGCAACUGUUUAUUAAAAACACAGCACUGUGCAAACACGAAAGUGGACGUAUACGGUGUGACGCCUGCCCGGUGCCGGAAGGUUAAUUGAUGGGGUCAGCGCAAGCGAAGCUCUUGAUCGAAGCCCCGGUAAACGGCGGCCGUAACUAUAACGGUCCUAAGGUAGCGAAAUUCCUUGUCGGGUAAGUUCCGACCUGCACGAAUGGCGUAAUGAUGGCCAGGCUGUCUCCACCCGAGACUCAGUGAAAUUGAACUCGCUGUGAAGAUGCAGUGUACCCGCGGCAAGACGGAAAGACCCCGUGAACCUUUACUAUAGCUUGACACUGAACAUUGAGCCUUGAUGUGUAGGAUAGGUGGGAGGCUUUGAAGUGUGGACGCCAGUCUGCAUGGAGCCGACCUUGAAAUACCACCCUUUAAUGUUUGAUGUUCUAACGUGGACCCGUGAUCCGGGUUGCGGACAGUGUCUGGUGGGUAGUUUGACUGGGGCGGUCUCCUCCUAAAGAGUAACGGAGGAGCACGAAGGUUGGCUAAUCCUGGUCGGACAUCAGGAGGUUAGUGCAAUGGCAUAAGCCAGCUUGACUGCGAGCGUGACGGCGCGAGCAGGUGCGAAAGCAGGUCAUAGUGAUCCGGUGGUUCUGAAUGGAAGGGCCAUCGCUCAACGGAUAAAAGGUACUCCGGGGAUAACAGGCUGAUACCGCCCAAGAGUUCAUAUCGACGGCGGUGUUUGGCACCUCGAUGUCGGCUCAUCACAUCCUGGGGCUGAAGUAGGUCCCAAGGGUAUGGCUGUUCGCCAUUUAAAGUGGUACGCGAGCUGGGUUUAGAACGUCGUGAGACAGUUCGGUCCCUAUCUGCCGUGGGCGCUGGAGAACUGAGGGGGGCUGCUCCUAGUACGAGAGGACCGGAGUGGACGCAUCACUGGUGUUCGGGUUGUCAUGCCAAUGGCACUGCCCGGUAGCUAAAUGCGGAAGAGAUAAGUGCUGAAAGCAUCUAAGCACGAAACUUGCCCCGAGAUGAGUUCUCCCUGACUCCUUGAGAGUCCUGAAGGAACGUUGAAGACGACGACGUUGAUAGGCCGGGUGUGUAAGCGCAGCGAUGCGUUGAGCUAACCGGUACUAAUGAACCGUGAGGCUUAACCUU
rnacentral:rRNA from 1 species